GCCGGGCAUGGUGGCUCAUGCCUGUAAUCCCAGCACUUUGGGAGGCCGAGGCAGGUGGAUCACUUGAGGCCAGGAGUUUGAAACCAGCCUGGCCAACAUGGUGAAAACCUGUCUCUA
rnacentral:SRP_RNA from 1 species